GACGGGAUUUUCCUGUGAGCAAAUAUAUCUACCUGGAUCGAAUUCAGGGAUCCGAGCUUGGUAUUCAGCUCCGACUCUCAUCCCAACAUCUGUAAAGCAAUGCCAAGAAAUAUGAAGCGAAUGCCCUGAGUGGAGACAGACCCUUGCCAGUCCCAGUGCGACUCUGGCCUGGAGCAGUUCUUGAGGCAGUGGAACCCUGCGGCACAGAGAUGGAAAUGGAAAUCAACUGGUUGGGCAGACUGUGGUGAGAAGAUCAAUGGGCAAAAAAGGACUCUAUCUGGGUGACCACUCUUGUGAGUGUGUACCGGGCUCCAGUGUAGCCUCAGAGAAGAAUGCAGCUGUGUACACUGACUGGCACUGACCCCUGCAUCACCUGCAAGCGUCCCAACAACCACUGCAUUUUAGUUUUCCCUUAAACUCUGUGUGUGUGUGUGUGUGUGUGUGUGUGUGUGUGUAUAGAUGGCUCAGAGGUUAAGAGCACUGGCUGCUUUUCCAGAAGUCCUGAGUUCAAUUCCCAGCCACCACAGGGUGGCUCACAACCAUCUGUAAUGAAAUCUGGUGCCCUCUUUGGUAUGGAGGUAUACAUGACGCAGGCAGGUGAGAUCCAAGUCAGAAGAAGGCACCAGAACCCCUGGAGCUGGAAUUGUAGGCAUUUGUUAUCCACUCAACAUAGUGCUGGGAAAAGAAACCUGGUCCUUAAUAAGAGCAUCAAACUUUCUUAACUGUCAAGCUAUCACCCCAGACCCUCCCACUGUGUUUUAAAGUCACCCUUUUCCUCAGCAAGGAAUGUUUCAGAUAUUUCCCAUGCCUCCAACUUCACUGCUUACCUUUCCUUAGUCUUCAGGGGUUACUUUCUUACCUCUUCCCACUCUUCCCCCAACUUACCUACCACCAAAAGGCUAGUGCCCCAAUACUCUGCCACCAAAAUCGCUUUCUUCCCUGUGAGAUGGAGUGCAAGGUCGGCUCUUAAAAUUCCCCAGCUAUCUGUUCACCUUCCAGCCAGCACAUCUUUUGGCCAGUUGUCUUUCCCAUAGUUAUUUCUGUGUAGUCACUGGGGUACAAUGGGACAGGGGAUACAUAGCUAGACUGGAGAUAUGUACUGGCUGGUUUUGUAUGUCAACUUGACAAAAGCUAGAGUCAUCAGAAAGGAAGGAUCCUUAGUUGAAGAAAUGCCUCCAUGAGAUUCAGCUCUAAGGCAUUUUCUCAAUUAGUGAUCAAGGAGGAGGGCCCAGCCCAUGGACUGAUGGUCCUGGAUUCUAUAAGAAAGCCAUCUGAUCAAGCCAGGGGAAGCAAGUUAGUAAGCAGCACUCCUCCAAGGCCUCUAUAUCAGCUUCUAUUUCUGUGAUUCUGCUCUGUCUGAGUUCCUGUAAGCCAAAUAAACCCUUUCCUCCCCAAGUUGCUUUUUGGUUAUAGUGUUUGGUUGCAGCAAUACAAACCCAAAUUAAGACAAGAAAUAUGAGUGUGUUCUAACAGGCUGGCCCAAAUUGAAAACUUCAGCUACUGUGUGGGGUAGAAAAGGUUAAAAACUCUGCACUGAAUGGACUUUGAGCUCUCUGUAGCCUUCUUUGCCUCAGGGCUUUCUUGCACCCUGGGAGCUGGCUUAGCUGUAGGCAGGCAGGGUAUUGGAGUGAGUUUGGGUUCACCUCCAGAGGGCAUGUGUGAAAGAUAAAAUCAGAAACUGCUCCUCCUCAAAGGUGCCUUGAGCUAACUUUGGUUCAGCUAAAAACAAAAUAGAAACACCAGACCCCUGCCAAUACCUUCUCCUCUAGUUAUCCCCCCCUCCCCAAACUAGAAGUCUAGAGCAGAAACUUACAGCCAAGCUCAUCUGUAUUUGACAAGCUGUAAAAUAAAUAGGAUGUAAAAAUGCACAGAUGAGAACAUACACUAUUUUUGUUGGGGAAAAGGUAAACACAAGAAAAGAAAAGACCUAGAUAGUGUAUAAGAUUGUCCUGGUUAUUAAAAAAGGGAGAAAGGGACACACAUCUAAUGUCAUGGAUGGAUCUCGGCACUCAGCAUAGCUGCCAUUCUUGGCUGCAUGGGUCUUAGGAAGUGAGGAUCGUUGUUUCUCAGAGAUGAAUGGUAGGAGUGGAUUCAGUCCCAGCUGUGUUCUUCUGGGCUUGAGAGGACCUUCAUUCAGCAAGGUUGGUUCCCCAUCACCAAAUGAGGCAGCCAACUGUGUCUAACUCGCUUCUACUGGGUGUUCCUCCCUUCCUGGCCCUGCCUUCUCCAUUCCUACGUCUGUCCUUGUCUAACUUCAGUCCUUGACUGAGAUUCUCCGCCCAUGCCUACCCCCACCCCAUCCCUUUUCCAACAGAAUCUUACUGGGUACAUUAACCAUACUUGGGUUGGCCUCACGCCUACAAGUAGAUGGUAGAUGGACGACACAAAGUGAACUCAAUGACAUUUUUGUAGUGAGAUAUCCACCCUGCCUGCACCCAAUCGUGCGUGGUCACAGGUGUGGACCUGAGGGUGUGGGUGUGGGUUUAGGUCUGGGGUCCAGACAGGUGGCUCACUGUCUUGGUCUGGUUGGGUCACAGGGAGCAGCCGGUAUGGAUCCUUAGAGCAGGAACCUGUGGCAGCCAUUUGCUUCUCCUAUAAGAGAC